rnacentral:rRNA from 1 species
GACGAACGCUGGCGGCGUGCUUAACACAUGCAAGUCGAACGGAAAGGCCCUGCUUUUGUGGGGUGCUCGAGUGGCGAACGGGUGAGUAACACGUGAGUAACCUGCCCUUGACUUUGGGAUAACUUCAGGAAACUGGGGCUAAUACCGGAUAGGAGCUCCUGCUGCAUGGUGGGGGUUGGAAAGUUUCGGCGGUUGGGGAUAGACUCGCGGCUUAUCAGCUUGUUGGUGGGGUAGUGGCUUACCAAGGCUUCGACGGGUAGCCGGCCUGAGAGGGUGACCGGCCACAUUGGGACUGAGAUAGGGCCCAGACUCCUACGGGAGGCAGCAGUGGGGAAUAUUGCACAAUGGGCGGAAGCCUGAUGCAGCAACGCCGCGUGCGGGAUGACGGCCUUCGGGUUGUAAACCGCUUUCGCCUGUGACGAAGCGUGAGUGACGGUAAUGGGUAAAGAAGCACCGGCUAACUACGUG